rnacentral:rRNA from 1 species
CCUACGGGUGGCAGCAGUGGGGAAUAUUGCACAAUGGUGGGAACCCUGAUGCGGCGACGCCGCGUGGGUGAAGAAGCGCCUCGGCGCGUAAAGCCCUGUCAGCAGGGAAGAAAAUGACGGUACCUGAAGAAGAAGCCCCGGCUAACUACGAGCCAGCAGCCGCAGUAAUACGGAGGGGGCAAGCGUUAUCCGGAUGUACUGGGUGUAAAGGGGGCGCAGCCGGCGAUGCAAGCCAGGCGUGAAAGCCCGGGGCCCAACCCCGGGACUGCUGUUGGAACUGCGUGGCUGGAGUGCAGGAGGGGCAGGCGGAAGUCGUGGUGUAGCGGUGAAAUGCGUAGAUAUCAGGAAGAACUCCGGUGGCGAAGGCGGCCUGCUGGACUGCAACUGACGUUGAGGCCCGAAAGCGUGGGGAGCAAACAGGAUUAGAUACCCGAGUAGUC